AGCGAGGUAGAGCAGGGGUAGCUCGCUGCGUUCUCCCGACGCAGAGGUCGUGGGUUCAAAUCCCACCCUCGUUG
rnacentral:tRNA from 1 species